UCCCUCUCUCCUUCUCUCUUUCACUCUGGAAAGCUCAACUUCCGGCCAUCGACUUUUGGCACCGCCACCAUCACCACCACCACCACCACCAAAAGAUAGCCUAGUUCUAGUUUUGAUUUGGCUAUCAGAUAAUCCUUCUCUCUCUUCUUUAUCAGAUUUCAAAACCAAAACGAAGAAGGAGCCCUCGUCAAAAUGACAAAACCUAAACUGAAGUCGCCAUCUCUCUCUCUCUCUCUCUCUCUCUCUCGGGCACGGGCCCUCUCCCUCUCAGCCUCUAUCCUCGACGGUUCGAUUUCUUUUACAACAAAAAGAAUGACUAGAGCUUUUGGGAACCCAUUAAUCCGACACAAGUUAAUUGAGGCUAUCCAGUUCAAAAGAUAAACAAGCUCAAGCGCUCUGGUUUUGUUAACUGUGCUGAGAAGGCUAGGAGUGAAGGGCGUGGAGAUAAAGAAACCAGAGCAGCUCAAAACCAUGGCCUCACUCAUAAUCCUUGUAGGAGAGAGCACCACCAUGGCUAAGCUUGCCGAGAACCACAACCUGGUCUUUCUAUCACUCACCCAAACAGUCUCUAUUAUUUGUUGAUUUGUUUAAAGCUUUUUACUUUAUUACUCCCGGGCUCAAUAUGUAUAUGCCUGCUUCUACAAUUGUCGAUACUUUUAGUAUAUCAGUAAAUGGGGAUUAGAUGAA